UACGGAGGGAGCUAGCGUUGUUCGGAAUUACUGGGCGUAAAGCGCGCGUAGGCGGCUUUGUAAGUUAGAGGUGAAAGCCCGGGGCUCAACCCCGGAAUUGCCUUUAAGACUGCAUCGCUUGAAUCCGGGAGAGGUGAGUGGAAUUCCGAGUGUAGAGGUGAAAUUCGUAGAUAUUGGGAAGAACACCGGUGGCGAAGGCGGCUCACUGGCCCGUUUCUGACGCUCAUGCACGACAGCGUGGGGAUCAAACAGG
rnacentral:rRNA from 1 species